ensembl:snRNA U5 U5 spliceosomal RNA
UUGCUCUGGCUUCUCUUCAUCGUAUGAUUCUUUCGCCUUUUACUAAAGAAUUCCGUGGAGGGGAGCAUUUCAAUGAGUCUUAAGAUAUUUUUCUCCACCUGACUUAGCUCCGGUU